rnacentral:rRNA from 1 species
AACGAACGCUGGCGGCGUGUUUAAGACAUGCAAGUCGUACGGGGGAAGAGAGUAGCAAUACGAUUUUCUUCAGUGGCGCACGGGUGAGUAACACGUGAGUAACAUGCCCUGUAGUGGGGGAUAGCCCAGGGAAACUUGGAUUAAUGCCCCAUGGUAUCGCAAGAUUAAAGGUGGCCGCAAGGCUGUCGCUACGGGGUUGGCUGGCGUCCUAUCAGCUUGUUGGUGAGGUAACGGCUCACCAAGGCGACGACGGGUACCUGGUCUGAGAGGACGAUCAGGCACACUGGAACUGAGACACGGUCCAGACACCUACGGGUGGCAGCAGUCGAGAAUAAUUCACAAUGGGGGAAACCCUGAUGGUGCAACGCCGCGUGGAGGAUGAAGGUCUUCGGAUUGUAAACUCCUGUCAUCUGGGAGUAAGACCUGGCGGUGAAUAGCCGACAGGGUUGAUAGUACCAGAAGAGGAAGGGACGGCUAACUUCGUGCCAGCAGCCGCGGUAAAAC